GACGAACGCUGGCGGCGUGCUUAACACAUGCAAGUCGAACGAAGAGCGAUGGAAGCUUGCUUCUAUCACUCUUAGUGGCGCACGGGUGAGUAACGCGUAAUCAACCUGCCCUUCAGAGGGGGACAACAGUUGGAAACGACUGCUAAUACCGCAUACGAUCUAAUCUCGGCAUCGAGGAUAGAUGAAAGGUGGCCUCUACAUGUAAGCUAUCACUGAAGGAGGGGAUUGCGUCUGAUUAGCUAGUUGGAGGGGUAACGGCCCACCAAGGCGAUGAUCAGUAGCCGGUCUGAGAGGAUGAACGGCCACAUUGGGACUGGGACACGGCCCAGACUCCUACGGGAGGCAGCAGUGGGGAAUCUUCCGCAAUGGACGAAAGUCUGACGGAGCAACGCCGCGUGAGCGAUGACGGCCUUCGGGUUGUAAAGCUCUGUUAAUCGGGACGAAAGGCCUUCUUGCGAAUAGUGAGAAGGAUUGACGGUACCGGAAUAGAAAGCCACGGCUAACUACGUG
rnacentral:rRNA from 1 species